UGCCUCCUGCUUACUACAGUCUGUGUUCUUACACUGACAGUAUAUAGAAAGGAGGCAAAGUAUACCUACCCCAUAUACCUCAGGCCAGGCCCUGUUCCUGGUCUGUAUCAUUGUUAAAUUU
rnacentral:snoRNA from 1 species